GGACACUUAGCUCAGUUGGUUAGAGCAUCGGGUUGAAGUUCCGAGUGUCGGCAGUUCGAAUCUGCCAGUGUCCACCA
rnacentral:tRNA from 1 species